rnacentral:tRNA from 1 species
GGGCCAUUAGCUCAAGGGUUAGAGCAUCCGGCUCAUAACCGGCUGGUUCUAGGUUCAAAUCCUAGAUGGCCCACCA